UUUAAAUAAAAUGCAACCCUGUGCUUCAUUUUCUUCAGCAAAAUUUGCAACGCAAAAAGGAGAGAUUUAAUUAAAUUAAAGUUUUAAGUGUUAAAUUUAGUAAAUUGGUUAUAAAUUUUUUUUGAAAAUGAGUAAAUAAGAAGUGAAACUUUAUUAAUAAGCUGUAAAAUAACUACACGAAGAAAUUGGCAUCUUGAUUUCAUAACGAUUUAAUCACAAUAUUUGUGCCCUAACCAAAUCCCCUCUAUGUGUAAAAUAUAUCAUCAAAAAAUAGUAACUAAUUUAAUAAAAUUAAAUACAUUUGUAUAAAUCAUCAA